rnacentral:rRNA from 1 species
CCUACGGGGGGCAGCAGUGGGGGAUAUUGCACAAUGGGGGGAACCCUGAUGCAGCGACGCCGCGUGGGUGAAGGAGUAUUUCGGUAUGUAAAGCCCUAUCGGCAGGGAAGAAAUUGGACGGUACCUGACUAAGAAGCCCCGGCUAACUACGUGCCAGCAGCCGCGGUAAUACGUAGGGGGCAAGCGUUAUCCGGAUUCACUGGGUGUAAAGGGAGCGUAGACGGCCAUGCAAGCCAGGGGGGAAAGCCCGGGGCCCAACCCCGGGACUGCCCUUGGAACUGCAUGGCUGGAGUGCGGGAGGGGCAGGCGGAAUUCCUGGUGUAGCGGUGAAAUGCGUAGAUAUCGCGCAGAACUCCGAUUGCGAAGGCAGCAUGCCGGCUCCACACUGACGCUGAGGCACGAAAGCGUGGGUAUGGAACAGGAUUAGAUACCCCAGUAGUC